rnacentral:tRNA from 1 species
GCCAGUGUGUUAUAAUGGUUUGAGUGUUAGACUACAACUAUGGAGACCAGGGUUCGAUUCCCAGCUUAGCCA